UAUAAAAAAUUAAUAAAAAUAUAAAAUGUAUCUAAAAUAUAUUAAAAAAAUAAAACAUAAAAUCACAAGAUAACUUUUUGAACUUUAGCUCUUAUAGUGAUGAGAGAUAAGAUUAAAGUUUAGUAAAUUACAGAUAGUAAAUAUCUAUUUAAUAGUAAUAUUUUAUUAUUUAUACACUUAGAUUAAUAAUACAAUUUGAAUAAUAUCUCACUCUAUUUUAUUUGUAAUUUAGAAAAAUAUUUUAAUUAUAUUCUUAAUUCUUUCUCCGAUUAUUUUAGAUCUUUUUUUUUCUUUUUUUUUUGGUAUAAUCGGUUUUCGUUUCAUCAUAGGAAAAUUAGAAAAUAAGUAAGAUUGCAUGGGAGAGAAGAGGAGGAGUUUUUGGGAUAGAAAGAAAAAGGAGAAAAUAAAAGCCUCUCUAAUCCCAAAAGGGUAAAACGGAAAAGGGCAAAUAGCAAAACUAAAGUAGAAAGAGAAGAGGGAUGGGAUUAGGAAGCAAAGCAGCGGAUUGGGGUUUUAAGGCGUUCACUGCAAGUCUAGGCGUCGCCACCAUUUAUCUCACGGCCACUUUCUCUGUGAACGUUUAUAGAGGCCUUUCUUGGCACAACUCGCAAUCGAAAGUCGACAAGCAAGGUGCUGCUGAGCAAGCUCAAUGACUUCAAUUUGUACUGCUGCCUCAUAUAUUUGGUCUUGCCUUUUUAAGGAACCAUGAAAUUACCAUGUAAACGUUGAUUUUAACUCCAGUAUUCUCCACCAGGGGUAACAAAAUGAUCGCAAGACUACUAAAACUCAAAUUUGGCACGUGUUUUUUACAUGGAUGUAGCAAUUUGGAUUGCAUUUGUAGUUUGAUUCUGCAGCCAACAUCAUUUGGUUUGCUCGCAAUUUUGAUCAGAGGUUACAUGUAUGUCCUGGAAAAUAAAUAGUUCUAUAACUAGUGGGCCUUCCUCUUUUAAACGUACCUUCAGUAUAUUACAAGAAGGAUGCUAUCCAUGCCUCUUUUAUUUAUUUAUUUAAGUGGGCUUGUCAAGUA